CGGGCUGUAGUGUCAACGGCAGCACGCAUGCAUGGGGUGCAUGUAGACCGAGUUCAAAUCUCGGCAGCCCGA
rnacentral:tRNA from 1 species